UUUUUUUUGGAGGUGGGAGAGAGGGAAGAAUAAUCCGUCUUGUCAAUUCAGGGUGUUCUGCCAUAUUAUCUGACAUGUAGCCACCUUCUCAUAUGAAUUAAAGUUCUGCAGGCAUGGGAUAUAGAAACUAUAAUGCGUAGUUUACUGGAGUUGGUAUCUCUAAGCAGAAGACAUGGUAAUUAUUAGCUGUAUGACCUUAGAUGAAUUAUGAAUCUCUCAGAUAUAUCAUUCUGUUUUCUGUAAAAUGGCGGUGAUAAUACCUCCCUAACAAGCAUAAUAUUAGUGUUAAGAGGAUACCAUAGAGGUGAACCUAUUCAGCACAUCAGACACAUGCUAGGUCUUCCAUAAUUUUAUGGUUUUCUUCCUUCCUAUCAUCUCAACCAAUCUCAUAUCAGUGCUUCUACUUGAUGUUUCCCUUAGAGAUUAUAUAUCCUCACUGAAUAGUUUGAUAUAGUUGACCUGUUUUCACUAGGAAUAAAAAUAUAAAAGUUAGUUUCCAUCUUGGCUCAAUGGUUAAUAAGCCUGACUAGUAUCCAUGAGGACGUGGGUUCGAUCCCUGGCAUUGCUCAUGGGUUAAGGAUCUGGCAUUGCUGUGAGCUGUGGUGUAGGUCACAGAUGUGGCUUGGAUCCUGCGUUGCUGUGGCUAUCGCGUAGGCCCGUGGCUAUAGCUCUGAUUAGACCUCUAGCAUGAGAACCAAGUAAAAAAAACAUAAAAGUUGUUUAAAACCAACUAGUGAAAGUUAAAAUGUUACUUACCUAAUUUUUAAUUAAAACUAUUAAAUACCUUCACAGCAUUUUCAAUAUUUAUUAUUCAGUCUUUAAAAAUAUCCACCUUUAUACAUUUUCUAAUGUAUAUCUAUUAAGUACACAUUAAGUACAUACAUUUUAAGACUGAAAAUAAUUAUGCUUUGAUGACAUGUUAUUGUUAUCACAAUAUAGAUAAUAGAUGGCAGAGACUCAUAUUAGAUAUGCAUUAGAUGUGAAGGAGGGGUCGAUGGAGGCAAACAGGAACUGGGAAGUAGUUUGGUCUAUACUUCGUCCUUUGGGGUGGUUGUACUGGCUGUUAUGACAGAUGUCCCUUUUCCUGCUUAAUAAACAAAGCUGAUUUUAUUCACAUUUUUUCUUGGCUCCUACCUUGCAACAGGUGGCCUGUCAGGCUGUUGUCAACUCUGCUACUGCUGGCUGUCAGGAGUUUUGAGAACCUUCUGUUAUGAUUAAAGCUAUAGUUGAGAGGAAACUUAGGCAAACUAACUGAAUUGACACAAUUUGUGUAAACUUCCUUGUAAUCUGAGAUAGAUUCUGGGUACUCACGUAAUGCUUUUCUUUUGUUGCCAUGUUGGACCAUGGAGACCUCUAGCAUUGGCCACGUAAUGAGUACUGAGUAGCUGGCAGCUGAGAAUCAUUUCAUAAAUGUCCCUGCUUUGAGCCUAAGGUAGAAGAGGUGUUUUCCCAAGACCUACUGGCUUUCUCGCCUUGCAGACAGAGGUAAGGGUGCGAGGUUAUAGCUGGGUAGACUCCUGGUAGAGGAGACCCUUUCCUGGUCUAGCUCUUGGUAGACAGGCUAGGUCCUCAAGCCUGGCCUAGCUUGCCAUGGCAGAAGGCCAGGCUAAAUCAUAGGAAAAAAAUAUGGACAUUUGCCUUUGUAUACAUUCCUUGAGAGCUUGAUAUGGUGAUGGAUUAGUAAUUAGAAAUAUUUUGGGAAUUUUCUCUCUUACAAAAAUAAAAAUAUGUAUAUGACAUGGCCUCCUGGGCCAUGAGGAUUUGAACCCAACACAUCUGACAGCAGAGCCUGCCUCUAUAGCUCUGAUGAGUUAGGAAGUAAGCUCCUAGUCUGGAAGGUCAAAAUCCUUCCACAUGGAAAAAGGAGGACCGAUUUGGAUAACAGGGAAACAGGAGAUUCUUGGCCCACCACACCUCAGAACUCCUGAGCUAGUCCCAUAGUUCUCCAAAGGAACUUGGAGAUAGAAAAGUAUUAAAGCAUGAUGAUUAAGCCCAUGAUUGCUACAGACAGAUACCAGAUUAGAAUCUCUACUUUAUCAUUUUCUACUUUUGACAAAUUGGCCAAUUACUUAACCUCUGUGUCUUUUAGUUCCUUCAUCUCUAAAAUGGAAAUAGCUGUAUAGAGAAUUUAGAAUACAAAAAUAGACUGAACCAGGGCUGGCAUAUGACAACGUGCCAUCCAUGAGUUUUGAAGUGGGCCUAGGGGUUAAAAAUUUCCUCUCUAUGAAGUGGGAUAAUAUUAAUGUUCUAUGUAAGAAAAACUCAUUAGGCUGUUUUGAACUCUUAUGUCAAAGUGCUACACAAAUAUAAAUAUUAGCAACCACUAGCAAUCAAAAAAACAAAAAAACCCCCACAAAACAACCCUGAAUGUUUUCUUGCUUAUUGGAAUGAAUUUCACUUUCUUAGAAAUUUAAAAUAUAACUUCUCUUAAGGAUAAUUUUCUCUAGUAGCUUUUUUUCCAUCCUUACUCUAUUGCCCCAUGAACAACCCUCUAGUUUAUUAAUUCGAGUGUAAACAUUAUCUUCCUACUCCCUACCCUUUGUCUAGCAUAUGUGUUUACCCAUAUGCUAAAAAGCUAUAUGCGGCAUGUUAAUUCUUUGUCCAGCAAUCAUGUAAAAUGCAACUGAAAAUAAUAACUUACAUGUAAGUCCUGGUCCAGCUUAGAAUUUUUUCAUUUACGUAUUUUAAAUUAGUUGGCUUUUAGUUCAAUGAUUUUCUUUAAUUUCUUAGUUUUAAAUAUGUGGCAUAUGUUGUUUAGCUAAAUUUAAAAAUUAGAAAUGAUGACUGUACCAAUAGUACUGUUACAUAUAUCAUUCUGUGAACCAUGGGAGAGCUAUUAUUCAAAAAGAAGAGAGAAUUCCCUGGGAAAAAAUGUAAGUCUUUGAGCUAUUGGUUUUUCAAGGAAAGACCCUAAAAUUAUUAUGAAAUCAGAUAAGUUAGGACUAUAAUUUCAAGCUGUGUUCUGAUUUAUCUCAUGCUGUUUGAUAUUGUCACAUAAGUGAUGCCAGCAUGGUCAAGCAUUUAAAUGCAAAUUUAUAAUUCUAAGUGCUCUCCUUUGUUGAAAGCAUUUUGUUUAAGCUUGAAAUCCCCCAAAGAGUUAUCACAAUUUUGAUUUUUUUUUCUGUAAUGGAAACCUUUGAUAAAAAUGGAAGAUGCAGAGAAUAAGCUGAAUAAUAGUCUUAUUUAGCAAAUUCGAAACAGACCAUCUCCUAGGCUCCCUGCAAACCAGAACAAAGUUGGACAAAAUGACCCCUGUCUGCCAGCUGAUAGAGGAAUCAGAGCUGUCUGUGAGACAAAUGAGGGAGUGUGCAACACAAAAGGUCAGGUUGAGCUGGAGCUGGAAAGAGAAAAGCAGAUCAAUAAGCAGACCAACCUGUUCUAGUGACAAGAGAUGUUUCCAGGCUUUGCCAAGUGAGAGGCUGGAAAUUCACAUUAGCAAGAAGGAAGCAAAUCUGUCAUGGGUUCACCUCAGUGCAAAUUGUGGGGCGCUUUGGCCAAGGGGCUUACAGGUUCCUCUCUCUUUUCUUUGUGUGACUUCUUGCACUGGCUACAUCCAUCUACUCAGGUGAACCUUUUUAAAACAGGUGAGCAAUGGAAAUCACACAAAAGAAAUACCUAAGCAACCUUCCCAUUUCACCAGCAGUUUGUCAAAGUGUUAGAGAAAGGCAAAUGACUAAUUUUAAUUAAUCUUUUUCAUGGUUAGUAUUUAUCUAAAAAGGAUGAUAUGAAUGUCCCUUCUAAUUGUUCUAUUAUUAGUAGGAUUUUUUAUCCCCUGAAAUAUAAAUUAUUAGUGGUUUUCAUUGAAUUCCUACAUGUGCUGAAAUAUACACAGUAUAAAAAGUGAAGUAGGAGUUGUUGCUUUGGUGCAGUGGGUUAAGAAUCUGACUGCAGUGGCUUGGGUGGCUGCGGAUGAGUGAGUCUGAUCCUCAGCCGGGUGCAGUUGGUUAAAGGAUCUGGUGUUGCUACAGCUGUGGCCUAGGUCACACCUCCGUCUCAGAUUCAGUCCUUAGCCUGGGAACUUCCAUGUGCUGUGGGUGUGGCUAUGGCUAUUAAAGAAAAAAAGAAAGAAAGGAAGGAAGGAAGGAAGCAGAGUUGAUUGUCAUAUUAUGUAUUACUAAUUAGGUUUAGAGUCUUGUCUAGACUGCUUGUGGAUUUUUCUACAGUAGGUGCUCAAUUUUUUUAUUAGAAUUUUUCUUUAGGUUAAAAAUUCUGGUUUGCAAUUAAGUUGGAACAAUUGAUUUUUUUAAAAAAUCAGAGCUACAUAAUAAAAUUUGGAUUAGGUUACAGUUUUUCUCAUAAAACAUUUUUCAUUUGGAUUGGGUUACAGUUUUUCUCAUAAAACAUUUUUCGUUACAGACAUGCCUCGUUUUAUUGUGUGUUGCUUCACAGACCUUGUGUCUCUUACAAAUUGAAAUUUUGUGUCAACCCCUCAUCCAACAAGUCUAUUGAUGCCAUUUUUCUAAGAGCAUUUCCUCAUUCUGUGUCUCUGUCACAUUUUGAUAAUUCUCACAAUGUUUCAAGCUUUUUCAUUAUGACUAUAUUUGUUAUGGUUAAAUGCUAUCACUGAUCCUCCAUGUUACUUGUUUUGAAGUGCUACAAACAUCACUCACAGAGGAUAAAAAACUUAGUCCAUAAAUGCAUAUAUUCUGACUGAUCCACUGACCAGCUGUUGCCCUGUUUCUCUCUCUCCUUGGGGCUCCCUAUUUCCUGAGAAACAGCAAUAUAGGAAGCAGGCCCAGUUUAAUAACUCUAUAAUGGCCUCUAAAUGCUAAAGUGAAAUGAAAAGUCUCAUGUCUCUCCUUUUCAAUCAAAAACUAGAAAUGGUUAAGCUUAGUGAGGAAGGCACCUCAGGAGUUGAGACAGGUUGAAAACUAGGCCUUUUGUGCCAAACCAUUAACCAAGCUGUAUAUGCAAAGGGAAAGUUCUUGAAGGAAAUGAAAAGUGCUACUCCAGUAAACACACCAAUGAUUUAAAAAAAAAAAACAAACAAAAAAAAAAAACAAACAAAACUAAAAAAGAAAGUGAAACAGGAGUUCCUGUUGUGUCUCAGCAGGUUACGAACCUGACUAGUAACUGUGAGGAUUGAAGGUUCAACCUCUGACCUCACUCAGUGGGUUAAGGAUCUGGCAUUGCCUUGAGUUGUGAUGUGGGUUGAAGACAUGGCUUGAUCUGGUGUUGCUGUGGCUUUGACCUAGGGUGACAAAAAAAAAAAGAAAAAAAAAAA
rnacentral:lncRNA from 1 species